AUCCCAUGAUGAAGGCACAAUGUCAACAUCUCUUUGAAGCGCACCCAAGCUUCAAAGAGCAAUUCUCCUUCCUUUUGAGAAAAACUUGUGAUUUGAUUUCUCAAUU